rnacentral:rRNA from 1 species
AGAGUUUGAUUCUGGCUCAGGAUGAACGCUGGCGGCGUGCUUAACACAUGCAAGUCGAACGAAGCACUUUUAUUGAGACCCUCGGGUGGAUUUAGAAGUGACUGAGUGGCGGACGGGUGAGUAACGCGUAUCCAACCUGCCCACCACUUGGGGAUAACCUUGCGAAAGUAAGACUAAUACCCAAUGACGUCUCUAGAAGACAUCUGAAAGAGAUUAAAGAUUUAUCGGUGAUGGAUGGGGAUGCGUCUGAUUAGCUUGUUGGCGGGGUAACGGCCCACCAAGGCGACGAUCAGUAGGGGUUCUGAGAGGAAGGUCCCCCACAUUGGAACUGAGACACGGUCCAA